rnacentral:rRNA from 1 species
CCUACGGGAGGCAGCAGUGAGGAAUAUUGGUCAAUGGCCGUAAGGCUGAACCAGCCAAGUAGCGUGAGGGAAGACUGCCCUAUGGGUUGUAAACCUCUUUUAUGCGGGGAUAAAGGUGUCCACGUGUGGAUGUUUGCAGGUACCGCAUGAAUAAGGACCGGCUAAUUCCGUGCCAGCAGCCGCGGUAAUACGGAGGGUCCGAGCGUUAUCCGGAUUUAUUGGGUUUAAAGGGAGCGUAGGCCGGUCUUUAAGCGUGCCGUGAAAUUUUGUGGCUCAACCAUGGGAGUGCAGCUGAAACUGGAGACCUAGAGGACGCGGAAGGCAGGAGGAAUUCGUGGUGUAGCGGU